rnacentral:rRNA from 1 species
UACAGAGGUCUCAAGCGUUGUUCGGAUUCAUUGGGCGUAAAGGGUGCGUAGGUGGCGCCGUAAGUCAGAUGUGAAAUUUCGGAGCUUAACUCCGAAACUGCAUUUGAUACUGCGGUGCUUGAGGACUGGAGAGGAGACUGGAAUUCACGGUGUAGCAGUGAAAUGCGUAGAUAUCGUGAGGAAGACCAGUGGCGAAGGCGGGUCUCUGGACAGUUCCUGACACUGAGGCACGAAGGCUAGGGGAGCAAACGGG